AGUACUCAACUUGCAGCUUUGUUGCUUGCAAGCUUGGAAUUGGGACCUGUCGGCGCAAGUCGACUGUCCUGAAAUGCAUUAGCCCUGAAUGCGAUCGUCGCAACUAAGCGUGAUAAACUUUGUCUUCGCUGAAAGCGUUCGUUCGGACGGGCUCACAGAAACCCAUACUUUUUCACCU
rnacentral:misc_RNA from 1 species